AUGGGGGGUCGUCUCCCAGGAAGCCUUAGAGAAAGCCUACCUGUAACCUGUGAGAGGGACUCUUGGUGGCACAUGGGGCUGACACCCAGCAGGGUAGCAGAGGCACUGGGCUGGCAAGGACCUUUCAGAGCUGAGCUCCAGCCACCUGCGAGGGUGCCCUCCCUCACACGCAUCCCAGCAAGGAUACUCUGCUCUAAGGAGCCCCCGUGGGUCUGGAGCUGCCGCCGUUCCUUGGGAUCCAAGGGAUUAAUGUGGGCACGUGCAGAAAUGAGCAAGGCCGCCUAGCCUUCACAUGACUUAAAUAAUUUCAGUUUUAGCAGCUUCUCACCCUAUCACUUCCUCCUUUCCAGCCACCUAUGGGUGAGGGACUGGAAGCAGGAAAGCACCACUGUGCCCUUAAAGUUUUGUCCCUCCCAGAAACUGGGGGGUUGUGGGGGGCAGGUGCUAUGGUGGGUGGACUUGUCCCUUCAGGUCUUCAGACAUGGCUGUCCACUUCUUACUGUCCCCACAGCGAUUCUUGCAGACUCUUUUAUCCUGAGGAUCCUAUUAAGAUUGUCCGGGGCCAAGGACAGUACUUGUACGAUGAACAGGGUGCAGAAUACCUGGAUUGUGUCAACAAUGUGGCUCAUGUUGGGCACUGCCACCCUCUCGUGGUCCAAGCAGCGCACGAACAAAACCAGGUGCUGAACACCAACAGCCGGUACCUGCACGACAACAUCGUGGAUUAUGCACAGAGGCUAUCAGAGACCCUGCCGGAGAAGCUCUCUGUGUUUUAUUUCCUGAAUUCUGGGUCAGAAGCCAAUGACCUGGCCCUGAGGCUGGCCCGCCAGUACACGGGACAUUGGGACGUGGUGGUGUUAGACCAUGCUUAUCACGGUCACCUGAGCUCCCUGAUUGACAUCAGCCCCUACAAGUUCCGAGACCUGGAUGGCCAGAAGGAGUGGGUCCAUGUGGCACCUCUCCCAGACACCUACCGGGGUCUUUACCGGGAGGACCACCCCAAUCCGGCUGGGGCCUAUGCCAGCGAGGUGGAACGCGUGGUGAACAGCGUACAGGAAAAGGGCAGGAAGAUUGCAGCGUUCUUUGCAGAGUCUCUGCCCAGCGUGGGAGGACAGAUCAUCCCCCCUGCCGGCUUCUUCCAGGAAGUGGCAGAGCACAUCCACAGGGCCGGAGGGGUCUUUGUCGCAGACGAGAUUCAAGUGGGCUUUGGCCGAGUGGGCCAGCACUUCUGGGCCUUCCAACUGCAAGGAGAAGACUUCGUCCCUGACAUUGUCACCAUGGGCAAGUCCAUCGGCAAUGGCCACCCCGUAGCCUGUGUGGCCACAACCCAAGCUGUGGCAAGGGCAUUUGAAGCCACCGGCGUCGAAUACUUCAACACGUUUGGAGGCAGCCCGGUGUCCUGCGCCGUGGGCCUGGCCGUCCUGGACGUCCUAGAGAAGGAACAGCUGCAGGCCCACGCCGCCUCCGUGGGCAGCUUCCUGACGGAGCUCCUCAGACAGCAGAAAGCCAAACAUCCCAUCAUCGGGGACGUCAGGGGCACUGGGCUCUUCAUCGGUGUGGACCUGAUCAAAGACGAGGCAACCAGGACACCAGCAACUGAAGAGGCCAAUUACGUGGUGUCCAGGAUGAAGGAGAACUACAUUUUGCUGAGCACUGAUGGCCCAGGGAGGAACGUCCUCAAGUUUAAACCCCCGAUGUGCUUCAGUGUGGACAAUGCACGACAUGUGGUGGCCAAGAUGGAUGCCAUCCUGACAAGUAAGCUGGGAGCCCAAGGAGGGUCUCUAGAGCUCAACCUGCAGCCAAUAGCCAGGACAUUCCAGCCUGCCCAGGAAAGGGGCUCAACAGCAAGCCAGGAGUCUUUGAAGAGACAGAGGGAACAAGGAGCUGAGGUGUGGAGGGGUCCCGGGAACCCAAGCCACCCCUUUCCCUGGCUGUGCCUAGAGGGCCUUCCUGAGCACCAAGUAGGCAGGAACUAGGGCACUCACCAUCCUGCCAGGGUGGCACUCAUGCAGACACGGGACAAGCCAACUACAACGGAAAACCCCACCAUGGAUCAGUAAAACCAUGGAAAGGUAGAUGGCAGGAACUUCAUGCCUUACUUGAAGGCUAGGGGACCCUCAGCUGCAGAGCUAUUGGAAUGAGAUUUGUAGCCAGGACUGAUUAAACGCAAAAGGAGAUUCCUCUCCACAUUCUCAAUCCCACAGGAACAUCAAGGUCAGUCCAGGGUGUCCCCUAAGUGCACUUACAAAGCAAUCUAGAAUGCACUAAGGCAGUGCUGCGUGUGUAGGGCUGGGAGGAGCAGGAGUGGGCAAAGUAGGCAAGAUCCCAUCUCCUGGUAGACAUGAAAGCAGCCCCGCAGGUGGCCCCUCACCUCCCCCAGCAGACACAACUGGAGGUGGUGUGGGACCCGCCGUAGGGAGUGUAUUCGUGGGGAGCCCAGGGGGAAGAGAGGCUGACUAGCUAGCUUAGCUUUUGUGUGUAGGGGGCGCUGCAGUUGAGCCUGAAGUCUCAGGAAACAUGGCUUGGUGGCCCAUGCACAUGGGGCAAGGGGCCAGACAGGCUGGUGGGCUCGAUGUCCAGAAUAUCAACCAAGAAGCUUGGACACUAGAGAAAGGUUAACUUGUUUGGGUGCCUUUGUGAUGUUUUUCAGGCAUGGAAGAAAAGGUGAGAAGUUGUGAGACACUGCGACUCCAGCCCUGAGGCAGCCCUGUGGAGUGGUGUUCUUCUCUGGAAGAAACGAAGCAUCCCACUCAAAUACACUGAGGUGGUGACCUUCAGCUUGGAGGAUGAAAACCACUGAAGCUCAGGACAAGGCUUCCCUGAGGCCCUACGGCUCCACCCCCACCUUCCCCCAACCACUGGCCUAUUGUCAAGAAGGGCCAGGAAUCUGUGUCCCCUUAGGACGCAAAGAAUCCUUUUUUUUGCUCAAAAAUUUGCCCACUGUGUGUGCUAUGAGAGUCCAGGACCUCCCAGUGCUCCUAAUUAAAUCAGGAGUUUACUUUUUAAAUACCUGGGCACAUAUACCUCCCUAAUUAGGACCAAGGAAAAAAAACACAUAAUGUGUCACCAUACAAGCAUACUCUCCCUCAAAACUCAAAAAAAUUAACAAGCUUCCUCCUCAAAUGAUGCCAUCUGAUGAUGUCUUCUGUUGAAUUAAAAUGCCAAAUACAUUUAUUUCAAAACCCA